GGACCCGCACAAGUGGUGGAGCGUGUUCUUUAAUUCGAUGAUAAGCGAAGAACCUUACCAGGGCUUGACAUCCUUGGAAUUUCUGCGAAAGCAGAGAGUACUUUAUUGGACCAAGUGACAGGUGUUGCAUGGCCGUCGUCAGCUCGUGUCGUGAGAUGUUAGGUUAAGUCCUUCAACGAGCGCAACCCUUAUGUUUAGUUGGAUUUUUCUAAACAGACUGCCUCGGCAACGGGGAGGAAGGAGGGGAUGAUGUCAGGUCAUUAUUACCCUUACGUCCUGGGCUAGAAACGCGCUACAAUGGCCGGUACAAAGGGCAGCCAACCCGCGAGGGGGAGCAAAUCCCAUCAAAACCGGUCCCAGUUCGGAUUGCAGGCUGAAACUCGCCUGCAUGAAGCCGGAAUCACUAGUAAUCGUAGGUCAGCACACUACGGUGAAUACGUUCCCGGGUCUU
rnacentral:rRNA from 1 species